GGGCCCGAGCACCGAAGUUGUGAGGACCCUAUUGUAUCUGCUCCGUUUAUUAUUAGGGCCCGAGCACCGAGGUGCGAGGACCCUCUUGUAUCUGCUUUGUUUAUUAUUAUUAUUAGGGCCCGAGCACCGAUGGUGCGAGGACCCUCUUGGAAUUGCUCCGUUUAUUAGGGCCCGAGCACCGAUGGUGUGAGGACCCUCUUGGAAUUGCUCCGUUUAUUAUUAUUAGGGGCCAAGCACCGAAAGUGCGUAGGACCCUCUUGUUUUUGUUGGCGUUCUUAUUAGGGGCCAAGCACCGAAGGUGCGUAGGCACCUAUUGUUUUCGUUGGCGUUAUUAUUAUUAGGGGCCAAGCACCGAAGGUGCGAAGGCACCUAUUGUGUUUGUUGGCGUUAUUAUUAGGGGCCAAGCACCGAAGGUGCGAAGGCACCUAUUGUGUUUGUUGGCGUUAUUAGGGGCCAAGCACCGAAGGUGCGUAGGCACCUAUUGUUUUCGUUGGCGUUAUUAGGGGCCAAGCACCGAAGGUGCGAAGGCACCUAUUGUGUUUGUUGGCGUUAUUAGGGGCCAAGCACCGAAGGUGCGUAGGCACCUAUUGUUUUCGUUGGCGUUAUUAGGGGCCAAGCACCGAAGGUGCGAAGGCACCUAUUGUGUUUGUUGGCGUUAUUAUUAGGGGCCAAGCACCGAAGGUGCGAAGGCACCUAUUGUGUUUGUUGGCGUUAUUAGGGGCCAAGCACCGAAGGUGCGAGGCACCUAUUGUUUUUGUUCCGGUUC